rnacentral:rRNA from 1 species
UACGUAGGGGGCAAGCGUUGUCCGGAAUCAUUGGGCGUAAAGAGCGUGUAGGCGGCCUGGUAAGUCCGCUGUGAAAGUCCAGGGCUCAACCCUGGAAUGCCGGUGGAAACUGUCAGGCUCGAGUCCGGAAGAGGCGAGUGGAAUUCCCGGUGUAGCGGUGAAAUGCGCAGAUAUCGGGAGGAACACCGGUGGCGAAGGCGGUUCUCUGGGCCUUACCUGACGCUGAGGAGGCCGAAAGCGUGGGGAGCGAACAGG